GCCUGGUCCGAGUGCAGCAUUUACAACUAACUGAUCCCAACCGGUUACAGAUUUCUUUGUUCCUUCUCCACUCCCUCAGGUUCACUUGACUAGCCAAAA
rnacentral:Y_RNA from 1 species